ACGUAGGGAGCGAGCGUUGUCCGGAAUUACUGGGUGUAAAGGGAGCGUAGGCGGGAUGGCAAGUCAGAUGUGAAAACUAUGGGCUCAACUCAUAGACUGCAUUUGAAACUGUUGUUCUUGAGUGAGGUAGAGGUAAGCGGAAUUCCUGGUGUAGCGGUGAAAUGCGUAGAGAUCAGGAGGAACAUCGGUGGCGAAGGCGGCUUACUGGGCCUUUACUGACGCUGAGGCUCGAAAGCGUGGGGAGCAAACAG
rnacentral:rRNA from 1 species